GGUUAGCUCGUUAAAUUACAAUAAAGCCUCGUGCAGUUUGCAGCAAGCUCUCGAAUCCGCCUGGUGAUUGGGGUGACCGCGAACCUGGCCUGAGACCCCGGAUACUUUCGGGGGUCUAACACUUUCUGUUUUGAGAAAAAGCAGGUAGUAUUGCCUGGUCCUCAAAUUCAGUAUUUUGUCAAAACUAUCAGAACAAAUGUCAUCUUUUUGUAUAACAAAUAUUUCCAAAACAUUAUUUACCUUCUUGCUGUGAAGUUCAUAGACAAUAUAACCUAGCUGCACACAUAAGUAUAAAAAUAUAACAAUAUUACCAUAAAGGUCACUGUAAUGGCGAUUUUAAUAUGGCAAGGGAGUCGCCGGCUUGCUGUGUGAUGAACGGCGUAGUCAGAAAGUUAUGCUUUUCACAUAAGUCACUGUAGAUUAAGCCUGACCAGAUCUUCUGAAAUUGUAAUCCAGUUUCUGUGAAGUUCUGGCCAAAAAAAGAAGAAGAAGAAGAGGAGGAGGAGGAGGAGGAGGAGGAGGAAAGAAAGAAAGAAAGAAAGACACACACAAACAUACUGCCCUUUAUUUCUUCCACACUAGGAAACAUAUUUUCACUUUUAAAUAUUUGUUACCUAUGUUAUUCCCAUCAACUCUCACUAGAGGGAGCCACUUGUCCUUUAGAAAGUGAUAAUGGGCCUAUGCUAGAACUGGAUUCUUGUAAAUUGACCCACAAUUUUUAUUCCCACUAAACUAUGAUUGUUUAAAGAUGCAUUUUAGACAGGAUUAGUUUUAUUUUGAUUUUCCAGUAACCAUCAGACUGAAGUGUACCAUUUGGUUCUGCCUAGUCUGACAAGGUCCCCCCGGUCAUGGACUUGGUUCAAAUUCUAGCUCCAUCAUUCAUUGGCUAUUUGACCUGGACAAGUCACCUCACCUCUCUAGGCCACGUUUUCCUAAUAAAAAAGAAAUUAUGGGCUAGCAAGAUGGCUCAGCAGGGAAAGGUGCUUGCCACCUAGUCUAUGGAUGAGUUUAAUCCCCAAGACCAACAGGGAAGAAAGAAAAUGAUUCCUUCAAGUUGUCCUCUGACCAACACACACACACACACACACACACACACACACACACACACACACACACAAUCAACAAAUCAGUGAUAUUAAAGGAAUGUUUAUACUUAAAAAGGAAAUCAUCAUUCCUAUUUUAGAACCCUAAUAUGAAGAUGACACAAGAUGAAUAAAAUAAAAAAUGAUGUAUAAAGUAUUUAAAAUUAUAAGAUUUCAAUUAGCAAUAUUACUUUUAUCUUAUGCUGAAGCUUACACACAUUUUAAUGACAGUUUUAUAGACCGACUUAAUGAUGUCCUAUAGAGCGUUAAGGGCAUGAAGUUCAAAGACAAAGUCAUCCAUGCAGAUGAGAGUAUUCAGUGUAUGCUUCAUGGAGGAAAUGGACUUUGACUGGGUUCCCACUUUGGAUAAGGGCUGACCAGCUGGAGAGAGGUGGAUGCUGGGAACACAGGAGGCACGUUUGCACAUGACGCCAGCUGUUCAUUGUUGAUUCUACAUCCGUCUGAUAGAAUAGCCACCACCCCCGAGUGGCUUUUAUUUUUAUGUCAAUCAAAGAGAAAUAAAAACUUAGCUCAUCAGUCACUCUCACUUCCUUUAAGGGGCUGAAUGGCAACAUCUGAGUGGUGGCUGCUAAACUGAAGAGCACACAACAUUCCAUUGUGGGGCAGUUUGAUUGGACAGUUUUCUAGAUCCAGCAUCAUGUAGAAGGAAAGUAGGUUUGCUAGAAUUAAACAGUGAACAAAGAAACAGCAGGGAUACAACUUAUAAAUGCUUUAUAGAGACAGAACAAUGGGAUUCUUUAUUGAAAAGGACAAUAUUACUAGAAGUACUUACUGCCUCACAUAAUAUCAAAAAAAUGAUCCAACGUCUCAGAUGGAUAGCUGGUGUUGGCUGGGGAGGUGGGGAUAGGGACAGGAGAGAUCAGGUGUGAGGAAAGACAACUGGAGUUGGGAGACUAGCUAGAAACCUAAGGCAAUGGAAAUUCCCAGGAAUCUAUAAGUGUGACCCUAACUAAGACUCCUUGCUGGGCUUUGAGACCCUUUUCCUCAUCCUGGGUUGCCUUAGUAUGAGGGAAGAUGCCUAGUCUUACUGCAAUUUGAUAUCCCAUGUUUUCAUUGAUAUCCAUGGGAGGCCUGCCCUUUUCUGGACAGAAACAAGAGGAGUGCAUGGGGGAAGCAGAGGGGAGGCAGGGGAGACUGGUAGGAAAGGAGGGAAAGGAAACUGCAGGGAAUAUAAAAAUAAAAUAAAAACGAUGAUCCAAAUGUUAUGCACUGUCACUAAGAAACUCACAGAUGUAAAAUAUAUUACAAAAACUCCAGAAAGAAGAAUGAAGCUAAAUGCAGCAAUGCUGGACAUGUCACUUGCAAAAUUUGAAUAUUAAACUAUUUAUAAAAUUAAAAAAAUAAAUGGUUAUUCACGGAUACCCACUAUAUUUUUGUAAAGUAAUAAUGUAAAGUAAUUUAAAAAAACAUUUGCACAUUAUAUAAGUAUUUUAAAGUCACUAUGAAACAUAGAGAUUUAGAUGGCUUGAUACCUGAGUUUAAUAGGGAGGCCACUUCAUAAAUAUGGCUUUUGUAUUUGAAACAUUCCAAAUCCCAAGGCUCAGAAAUUUCAUACAAGGUAAAAUCUUUCUGAGUAUUUUCUCUAUAUGGGGCAUAAAUGAAUAGGCAAAACCCUUUAAAGAUUGUUCCAUGAAUUUGUGUUAGUUACCAUUCAUUAAAACUCUAGACCUCAUAUAUAAUCUUACAAAAAUACUAGCAACUUUCAAAAAUAUAAGUACAGUUCCAGAGUCAAAGAACCUUUUUAAAACAACCAGACCUUUAUAACUAAAACAAAAACAAAAAUAAAUAAAUAAAAACAAAGAGCCCUUCUGUUUUAAAGGAAAGUUCAUCAAGGUCAUUCAUUUUUCAAAUAAAAAUUAAUUCAAUAUGAAAAAGCUAAUAUUUUGAUAUCUAAUUUAAUACCUCAGUUGUCGUAACUCUUCAUGUGAAAACUCUGCCUUGUGAAAUCAUUGGCUCUAAGAUUACAUUGUAACUUCCUUUGGUUUGUAAGCAAACAUUCUAUGCAUGCCUAUUUCGAACACGAAGGCUGAUUUGGAAAGAGACCAUCAUUCAUUCCUCCAGUUAUCAGUAGAAAGCUUCAUAAUUAUUGAACUUUUGCCAAAUAAUAUGCACUAUGCUAAAUGUAUCCAUGGCUAGAAGUAAUUCACUUUGUUGUAAAGAUGAAUGUGCUUCUGUAUGUUAUGUUAACUAAUUCGUAGUGAAACAUAGGUUUACCUGACCUCAGAGCUCUUUCUGCUAUAUCAUAUUGCUUUUCUGAUUUCUUGAAAUAAUUAGGCAACAUAUAGGAACCUGGGAGUAACUGCUGCAGUUUUCUAAUGACAUUUUCCAGGAUCUGUAUCUUGAAUAAUAGCACCCUAAGGAUCCAUAAGCAAUGUUGUCUUCAUUGAUUGAAUGAAUGAUUUGUCGUUUUCCUAGUUAGGGUUUCUAUUGCUAAGAUGAAAUAUCAUAACCAAAGGAAAGUUGGGAAGGAAGGGUUUAUUUGGCUUAUGCUUCCACAUCCAUUGCAGUCUAUCGUGGAAGAAGUCAGUACAGGAACUCAAGUACUGCAGGAACCUGGAGGCAGGAGCUGAUGCAGAGGCCAUGGAGGGGUGCUGCUUACUGGCUUGCUCCUCAUGGCUUGCUCACCCUUCUUUCUUAUAGAACCCAGGAUCACCAGCCCAGGGUGGCUCCACCCACAAUGGACUGGAUCUUUUCUCAUCAAUCACUACAUAAGAAAAUGCUCUACAGGCUUGUCUACAGCCCUAUCUUAUGGAGGGUUUUUUUUUUCUUUUUUUCUAGAUUGAGGCACCCUCCCAUACCUAGAGUCAAGAAAGAGAUGCAGGACAGCCUCCAGAGGAACAAGACUUCCUAGAGGAUGAGUAAAGCCAUCAACCAUGUAGCAAAAUGUAGACUAAUAGAAAUGGGUUUAAGUUGUAAGAGCUAGUUAGUAAUAAGUCUGAGCUAUAGACAGAGAAUAUUGUAAUUAAUGUAAACUUCUGUGUGUUUAUUUGAGACCAGGCUGUCAGGACAAAAGAAAAGCUCUGCCUCCGAUUACAGUAACACCCAAGACUAGAGGCACAUGCCAUUUGUUCUUUCCAGACACGAUAAAUUCAAAACAUUUGUUAAUUCUUACUGCAUACAGGAUACUGAGUAUGUGUUCACUGGGGAUGUAUGGCACUGUGGAGAAGAUAGAGAAAUAAAUAAUUGAAACACCACAUGAUAAAUGCACCAAGAGAUAAAAGCAAAGGACUUUGGGUAGGCAGAGGAGGGAGUUUCUAUGAUUGUAAUUGAUAAUAGAACUGUCUUAGGAUUCAAGGGAAGAUAAAUUUGAGAUAAAUCCUAACUUAAAAAAAAUAAGAUUAUAACAGGAAAAGGAAGUCAAACAAAUUCUAGGCUGACAAAAUACCCUUAAUAUAAAAACCAAAUCACAAGCAGGAGUAGAGCCAGCCUGAAAGGUAAAGACAGGGUCAUUUCUUGGGUGCAAUGCUUUCAGCAAAAUGGGAUGUGACAGUUAAGAACCUUUUCUGUUAUGCUGUUAUAAUGUGUGUGUUAAAUGAUAGUGGGCUAAAUAUAAUGAUUAUAAAUGCCUUUAUCAGUCCUGUGGCUGUUAGAGUAUUGAGGUAGGUAGGAUUUAAAGUAAAGUUACAUGAAUUGAGUCAGGAAACAAAAUGAAUCAUCAUACGGAAGGUUGUAUAAUUAAAAGUGGAUAUAUCAGUUUCGGAAUGCUUCUAAAAAUCUAGGCAGCAUCAGUGGGGGGAUCUUUAGGAACACGAUGGGCAAUAACAAAAGGCUUAAGAAAAAUAUUAAAACAACUGAUAAAAUAUCAGUAACAGUUUGAACAGUGAUGUAAACAACUAAAAUUCAGUCAAAAUUUUAAUUUGUAGUAGUAGGACUCAUGUUAUGGAGCAUGGUACUUGCUUUAAUAAAUGAAUUAGACACUGCCUUGAUGGUAUAUUUGAUAUUAUUCCUUUUAAUCUAAGUAUAUUUUAAAAUAUGCAAACUAAUAAUUAUCUCAUAAUUAUUGAAAAUGCCUAUUUUAAGUAAAUUUAGCAUAUGGAAGUUUAUAUAAAAGGCCUAGUGUUAAAAUUAGCCAAAAAUGUUAACUAUUAGCCAAGUUAAAAAUAAUUUGUGAACUGUAUUUUUAUUGGUGCCAACAGAUUCCUUUUAAAAUAGAAAUGUCCCUAUGGUCAUAUGUUAGUGUAAAUAACUUGAAUAACCUACAAAGCAGGUUUUUUAUUGAACUCUGGGGUGUAGGCAUAUUAAUGAUAGCAUUAAAGAGGACCCAAAAGCCCUUCAUAUGGUUCUUGAAAAGAUUGAGGAGAUAGGGUAUCUUGGAAUGGUAGAUAUAUUUGUAAAUGGAUAUGAAAAAAUAAACUAUAUCAGAAUAGCUCUAAAAUCAGAAGCUGAUUGCAAAUCUCAACAUCUCAUUUUGGCUCCAUCCUCAAACAAAAAGACAACUUCUUGAAUAACAAAUCCUUCCCUCAUUCUCCUCUGAGGUAUCCUAAAACCAGGAGCAUUUUCAGCAACUCCUUGAUGAGUGUAAAUGUUGACAACUACAGCAUAAAAGAAGCCGCUCCCACCCUUAACAGGCCCACAGUGCAUGUAGAGAGUAAUCAGGAAACUCAUCACAUUCCAAGAAGGGUAGGCAAAAUAGAAUAGUGUUCCUCUCGCUCCUCCCAAAGGCAUAAAUGACCUAACCCUAAUAACCUGUGAAAAUGUUACCUUCACAGGGAACUAAAGUUGCAGAUGGAACUAAGGUCACUAAUCAGCUGACUUUGAAGUGGGGCUAUUCCGGUGGGCCCAAUGAUGUAUUGCAAAGAGCCUUUAAAGUAGAAGAGGCUGGCAGACAGGGUCAGAGUGUUGCAAUAGGUAAAGAAUCCAACCUUCCAUUGCUGCCUUUGAAGAGGGAGGAAGGCACCAUUAGUCAAGGAAUGCCAUCAGCUAGCAGGAGCUGGAGAGAUCAAGGGAAUGCCUUCACCCAGAGGCCCUGAAGAAAGGAAACCCUGAUGAUGAAUGUCUCCAGUUCAGUCCAGGGAAACCCUUCUGGACUUCUGAUCUCACAGCUGUAUGAUGAUGAAUUUGUGUUGUUCUAAGUUACUAAAUUUGUUUUAACUUGUUAUAGCAAUUGCCAAUAACAAAAUAUAAAAAACAUUUAAUAAGUAUUACAUUUAUAAUAUUCAUACAAUACUUUUAUCUCAUGCUAUUUCAGUUCUCCAAUGAAACAUUGGAUCUUUUUGUAUUUUUCCAAAUGAUCCAGAGAAAAUUGAGAGCCCUUUCCUCCUCUACCCAUUCAUUGAACACCAAAUUGAAAAGAAAAAAGAAACACUGUCAAGAUAUAUUCUCUUUUUUAAGCCUUAGGUAUUGCUUACACAUCUGUUGUGAUAUUUCUUUUAUUUGAUUUUGUUUCGAGUUCUUCAUUAUCUGAUUUAUUUAUCCUUCCUAGUUUGGAAACAAACUGAACAUGAGAAUGAUUCUCCCGAGGUUUACUCUUCCCAGGAUAGCAUCAGUCUGCACGAGGCAGGCAGCACAUGCCAAGUAAUAAGUAUAGCGGGGAAGGGGAAGCUUAGAAAGUGAAUGAGCAUGCCCACCAUCAUGCCAGGGACAAAAUUUCAUUUGCAAGAGAGACAGAGAAGUUAGGCCUCACUAAUAUAGUUGUGUGCCGUUUAUGCUCCCCAGGAAAAGAGAGGUCUCACUCCUGAGGAGCAGUGUGAAGUUUCUCCCUCUUCUGGUUUUGACAAAAAUUGAACCAAUUCACUGUACUUAUAUCUUUAGAAACCGUGAGCAUAAAGUGCCCAAAGCUUUUCUCUGUUACUGAAUCUCGGAUCCAAAGCAGCCAUCACAAGUGUUCAGACCAAGAAGUCAAGUGGAGAAUUGUUUAGCCUUUCACCAGCUUACUGAACAAUCAGGAGAGAGGACCUGCACCUCGCCUGGGCAAAAGAGUAGAGCUGGCCCUGGAGAUACAAGUGAGGGGGGACCCGAUCUGAGGAACCAAGAGAAGGAGAACUGCCCUUACUCCUUGCUGUAGGCUACAUUGGGUGAGCUAGCCAAGACAGUGCUGGAGAGCUGGGUAGUGAUGAUGAGGGAAAGCAAUGUGCUGCCCAACCCUCCUACCACCCAGGCCCAGAACUAGGACUAUGAGUGAGCCCAGCCCAAUACCUACCUCAUCUAUGAACUGUUGGAGCAUGUAAAGGGGACUAUGGAUCUAAAACAGCAGAAUCUCCGUGAUACUGGACAACAGCAGGAUAUGCAAGGUGAGCAGGUCAUGAAAUCCCAGAAAUGAACAGGAAGGAGACACUGGCCUGCAGCACUGCCACUUCGGAGGGAAGCCAAGGGACAGGAAAUGUCAAGCCUCUGAGAUUUGAUCUGCUACUGCUCAUCCUUGCUUGGUUCAACUGCUACUGACCAAUGGAACAAUGGCUAAUCUACACCAAGCAUGCAUAUGCAGUGUCCCACCGGUCUCCCUGGUCUUCAGUUCAGCAAUUCCUGCUGAUCUACACCUGAGUUCCUCAGUUAUUCCUUGUCAUCUUGAAUUUGUGAUUGAACCCUUCUGUAUCUUUCAGCUGUGUUCUCUGCUCGACACCUCAGAGAUUAUCACUUCCGUCAAUGAUGCUGAAGGGAAGGAAGUCACUGUCUCACAUGCCUAAGGAAGAGAGGCUGCCAGUCUCAGCUUGUUCCACUUCUGCAAAACCUGUCCUUACUAAGAUAGCAGGAGGAAUGUGUGAGAGUAGCUUUGGGCCAGAAUGUCAUAGAUUCUUACUUUUAAUAAGUUCACUCAGCAGCUUUUCCAACCUAAAUACUUCUCAGAUUGCUGCAUGUUAUUUCUUUUCAGAGUGCUAAAAUUAUUCUUGUCUAUUUUAGUAGCUUUAAAUGUGCUAUUGAAAGACAAUUCCUCAUCUUCAUCACUUGGCCAUAACCAAAAGCUCUAUGCUUACCUAUUAUUUCAUAAAGAAUGAAUUUUACACUAAA